UCGUUGGAUAAGACCCUCCCCCGGACAUACGCCGAAUUGCUAGAGCGCACGUACAAAUACAUACGCGCAGACGAAGGAGCUUCCGAUCGAUGCCUGACCGAGGCCAAGGGUCAGAAGGAGAAGUGAAGGAAGGGUCGGACCCCUGUCGAGCCUAGCAGGCCCCCGACCGACAAACCGGUCUCACCCCAACAACGGAGCCAAAGGUCGCCUCGAUGGUGGAGUCCGAGGCCGACGCAUCCCAGGUAUGACUCCUAUACUCCUCUUUCUGC
rnacentral:lncRNA from 1 species